GAAGCGCCGCGGCACCGGCGCUACCGCUUCCCACCCCUUUCCUGCCUCUUCCCCCUCCGCCGCUGGCUGCGCUCGGGCCUGGAUCGCUACGCCAGGGCCGCCGCGGGGGAGUCUGCAUCGACUGGGAUCAGCCGCUGGAAGCUCCGGGUAGGUGGUAUGAGUCCAGGCCUCUGUGCCAUCCCAGCGUGCUGAACAGCGAGUAGUUAACACUGCUUCAGCCUGACUCGCAGUGUAAACAAAUCACAUUGAAUCAUGGCAGCAGACUCUAUGGAAAUUGACGAUGCUUUGUACAGUCGCCAGAGGUAUGUUCUUGGAGACACAGCGAUGCAGAAGAUGGCUCAGUCUCAUGUGUUCCUGAGUGGUAUAGGUGGCCUUGGUGUGGAGAUUGCCAAAAACAUCAUUCUGGCUGGGGUAAAGGCUCUUACAGUUCAUGACACCAAGCACUGCACAAAAUGGGAUUUGGGGAUCAACUUCUUCAUCCAUGAAGAUGAUGUUACCAGUCAAAGGAACAGGGCUGAGGCCACACUUCCUCGUAUUGCAGAACUCAAUCCGUACGUCCAUGUAGCAGCAUCAACUGUGCCACUAGAUGAAACCACAGAUCUGUCUUUCUUAAAGCACUACCAGUGUGUCAUAUUGACUGAAGUAAGUCUGUUGUUGCAGAAGAAGAUUAAUGACUUCUGUCAUGCUCAGCAGCCACCUAUUAAGUUCAUCAGUGCAGAUGUGUAUGGAGUAUGUUCACGUUUGUUUUGUGACUUUGGUGAUGAAUUUGAAGUGCUGGAUACAACAGGAGAGGAGCCAAAGGAGAUCUUCAUUUCAAAUAUAACACAAUCAAAUCCUGGUAUUGUCACUUGCCUUGAAAAUCAUCCACACAGGCUUGAAACAGGACAGUUCUUAACCUUUCGAGAAGUUAAUGGAAUGUCGUGCUUGAAUGGAUCCACACACCAAAUAACAGUGGUGUCACCUUAUUCCUUCAGCAUUGGUGAUACAUCAGAGAUGGAGCCUUACCUGCACGGAGGUAUAGCUGUGCAAGUGAAGACGCCCAAGAUGUAUUAUUUUGAACGGCUGGAGAAGCAGAUAACAAAUCCAUUAUGCCUUGUUGCAGAUUUUAGCAAGCCUGAGGCACCUUUGCAGAUCCAUGUUGCCAUGCUUGCCUUGAACCACUUCCAGGAGAACUUUGGUCGUGGACCGAAAAUUGGAUGCCUCCAAGAUGCUGAGGAAAUGCUGAAAAUAGCCAUGACUAUAAGUGAAACACUGGAAAACAAACCUCAGGUGAACGGAGAUGUGGUGAAAUGGCUGUCUAGGACUGCUCAGGGAUUUCUACCUCCUUUGGCUGCAGCGGUGGGUGGUGUUGCCAGCCAGGAAGUCCUGAAAGCAGUAACAGGAAAAUUUUCUCCUUUACAGCAGUGGCUAUAUAUAGAUGUGCUAGACAUUGUAACACCUCUAGAGAAGGUGGGCUCUGAGGAGUUUCUCCCACGGGGAGAUAGAUACGAUGCCUUGAGGGCUUGUAUUGGAGACUCUCUGUGCCAGAAGCUCCAUGAUUUGAAUGUUUUCUUGGUUGGAUGUGGAGCGAUAGGCUGUGAAAUGCUGAAAAACUUUGCACUUCUUGGUGUUGGUACUGGGCAAGACAAAGGAUUGGUUACAAUUACAGAUCCAGAUUUGAUAGAGAAAUCCAACCUGAACAGGCAGUUUCUUUUUCGACCUCACCACAUACAGAAACCCAAGAGCUACACUGCAGCAGAAGCAACUAUGAACAUCAAUCCUUACAUAAAGAUUGAUUCAGAUAUUAAUAAAGUUUGUCCAGCCACUGAGAACACUUACAGUGAUGAAUUCUACACCAAGCAAGAUGUGAUUGUGACGGCUUUGGACAACGUUGAAGCUAGGAGAUACAUUGAUAGUCGUUGUGUAGCAAACCUGCGUCCUCUUAUAGACUCUGGAACUAUGGGAACAAAAGGACACACAGAAGUUAUUGUGCCCCAUCUGACAGAGUCCUACAAUAGUCAUCGGGAUCCACCAGAGGAAGAAAUACCUUUUUGCACCUUGAAGUCUUUCCCAGCCGCUAUUGAGCAUACGAUACAGUGGGCAAGAGAUAAGUUUGAAAGUUCAUUUUCUCACAAGCCUUCAUUGUUUAACAAGUUCUGGCAAACCUAUCUGUCGGCAGAAGAAGUUUUACAGAGAAUAAAAUCAGGAGAGAGUUUAGAAGGCUGUUUUCAUGUUAUUAAAACUCUCAGUAGAAGACCCCGAAGUUGGACUCAAUGUGUAGAACUAGCAAGAGUGAAAUUUGAAAAGUAUUUUAGCCAUAAGGCUCUUCAGCUUCUUCAUUCAUUUCCCCUUGAUACACGAUUAAAAGAUGGAAGUUUGUUUUGGCAAUCACCAAAGAGGCCUCCUUUCCCAGUGAAGUUUGAAUUUAAUGAUCCUUUGCACUAUGGCUUCAUUGUGAGCACAGCAAAACUCUUUGCAACAGUGUACUGUGUUCCUUUCACAGAAAAGGACUUGUCAGAGGAAACCAUUUUGGGGAUUAUUUCAUCUGUGAAGGUACCAGAGUUUAGACCUUCAAACAAAGUUGUACAGACUGAUGAAACAGCAAGAAAACCAGAUCAUAUUCCUGUCAGCAGUGAGGAUGAAAGAAAUGCUAUUUUCCAGCUGGAGAAGUCUAUACUAUCCAAUGAAGCUCUGGAAACUGACUUGCAAAUGAAGCCCAUCUCCUUUGAGAAAGAUGAUGAUAGUAAUGGGCACAUUGAUUUUGUAACAGCAGCAUCAAACCUGCGAGCCAAGAUGUACAACAUCGAACCAGCAGAUCGGUUCAAAACAAAGCGCAUUGCUGGAAAGAUUAUUCCUGCCAUUGCAACAGCUACUGCUGCAGUAUCAGGGCUGCCAUUAAUACUGAUUUCCAUCAGAAUGGCGCUGCCAAAAGUGAAAAAGAUCUGUUCUGUAGAUCAUGUUCAUGCAUCUCAACAGAACCUCAUGCUUUGUGGAGAUUUCAUGAACCAAACAACUUUGGAAGGUUGCACUGGAACUCAUCAAAGUUGUGGGUGGCUACCCAGUUGAUGCAUACAAGAACUGUUUUCUGAACCUAGCCAUUCCCAUAAUGGUCUUUACAGAAACUGCUGAAGUAAGAAGAACAGAAAUCAGAAAUGGGAUAUCAUUUACCAUCUGGGACAGGUGGACAAUUUAUGGGAAAGAGGAUUUUACUCUCUUGGACUUCAUAAAUGCUGUCAGAGAAAAAUAUGGAAUUGAACCAACUAUGGUUGUACAAGGAGUCAAAAUGCUCUACGUUCCUGUGAUGCCAGGCCAUAUUAAAAGAUUAAAGUUGACGAUGCAAAAGCUUGUGAAACCAUCAGCUGAUAAGAAGUAUGUGGAUUUGACAGUAUCAUUUGCUCCAGAGACUGAUGGAGAGGAAGACUUGCCAGGGCCACCAGUGAGAUACUACUUUGUUCAGGAAGACAAUUGAUGGUAGAGACACAGAAGUCACUCAUGGACCAUUUGUUCUGAAAGGAAUGUGCUAAUUUUCAGCUAUUAAAGAUGGUACUAUGUAUUUCUUUUUGGUGAAGCCUUAAUUAAAUGGUGAAAAUCAGUGGCUUUGCACUGAAGACAAACUGGAUCUGUUUCUUCUGCUCCUGUAUUCUUCAAGCCUGUUUACUCAAAGGAGGAUUGGUCACUCCAUGAGAUGGAACGUCCAGUACAGUCCUUACCUUAAAGGCAAGAUGUGUAUUGAGGAAAGCAAGAAGAAUGGUGAACCUAAGAAAUUGUCCCUGUGUGCAAAUUAAGCAAUUUGCCUUUGCUUAGGGAAGAGUGCAAAAAAUAGGAAAAGCACCGUUUUAUGAUACACUUGGUGUUCUAAGAACAUCUCAAAUUAAUUUCAUAUGUUACUUCAUUCUCAAACAAGAAUUUCAUUCUUGCCAUCUACAUGUGAGAUUUUGUCCAUCUUAAAGGCUUAAACUCCCACUUAAAAGCAGAGGAACUGCUUUCUUGUGUGGCUGGUUAGUGGUGCCGCGGUCAGCGCAGCUAUCUUGUGUCAGUGUCAACAUGGAAACAUAGGGAGGAGGUGAUUGUAAAAUCAAACUCCUCUGAAGUCCAGAGAGCUGGAAUUGUUGAUUAUCUGCACUAAGACUGUUCUUUGUGGAAUACUGUAGUAUGAGGAAAGUGAAAACUUAUCGGAGAGCCGAAUUAGCACUUUCAACAAUAAAACUUGGUCUUCAACAAAGAGAAAA